UACGUAGGGUGCGAGCGUUAAUCGGAAUUACUGGGCGUAAAGCGUGCGCAGGCGGCUUUGCAAGACAGAUGUGAAAUCCCCGGGCUCAACCUGGGAACUGCAUUUGUGACUGCAUGGCUGGAGUGCGGCAGAGGGGGAUGGAAUUCCGCGUGUAGCAGUGAAAUGCGUAGAUAUGCGGAGGAACACCGAUGGCGAAGGCAAUCCCCUGGACCUGUACUGACGCUCAUGCACGAAAGCGUGGGGAGCAAACAGG
rnacentral:rRNA from 1 species